rnacentral:rRNA from 1 species
UGGGGAAUCUUGCGCAAUGCACGAAAGUGUGACGCAGCAACGCCGCGUGGAGGAAGAAGGCUCUCGGGUCGUAAACUCCUUUCAGUUGGGACGAAGCUUCGUCGGUUAAUAGCCGGCUGGAGUGACGGUACCUUCACAAGAAGCACCGGCUAACUACGUGCCAGCAGCCGCGGUAAUACGUAGGGGGCAAGCGUUGUCCGGAAUCAUUGGGCGUAAAGAGCGUGUAGGCGGCCCGAUCAGUCCGCUGGG